CGUUGAAACACCGAUUCCCGUCCGUUCAUUGAAAUUAAGCAACGUCAAGUCUUAUCAGUACCUGGAUGGGUGACCGCUUGGGAAUACCAAAUACUGUAA